rnacentral:piRNA from 1 species
UAGGAUUAUGUCCUAAUGGAUAAUGGA